CCUUUUUUGCAAAUCUGAUGUUAUUGCAGUUAUACCGAGUUUUUGCAGUUUACAGUGUAAAUUUUGUUCUCUUUUCACUGCCAAAGAUGUAUAAUACAUACAAAUUUGAAAAAGAAUGUGAACUAUUGUAACUCUUGAAAGAUAGUAAUUGUACUUAAUUGAAUACUUAAUGACCAUAUGCAUGCAUAGAAGCUUGCAGGAAUAGAAGAAGUUGCACUUCUGUAUGUUGCCGGCUUUCUCUUUUCUUGCAGGGCAUUGUUAUGGGUCAUUGAAGCCGGUGGCUUGGUCUAAGGGCAACUAACCCAUCUGUAGAAUCAUGUAAUAAAAAAUUCAUGACAGGCUUGGGGAGGAGACCAAAGUACAAAGGACGGCCAAUUAUAUUUGGUUUAGUGACCGACUAAAGGUGUGAGCAUUACAAAUGAGGUCAAACAAUGCAUUUGGAUGGAUUCCAAGAUGCAACUUCAUGACCGAAAUGCAUAUAAUUGGAGGAAUAUGAGGGGUUGAUGCAUAUACAAUUGCGAUCUAUACGUUUUUUUUCCCCUUUUUUCUGUUUGGGUUUACACGGGUAGAGCGCUUAGGAUAGCAAGGGUUGCGGAAGGUUUGUCAGUUGGGCAUGUGCCAUAUGCUUACCGACACACUGGAAUGAUCACUCAAUGGGUCCCUAGGAAAUUAUUUUUCGUUUCCAAAAAUCAAGUUGACUAGAUGUUUAAACAACUAGAUGAUUAUAUGAAAGAAGGCGAUAUCUCUUUUCGUGUGAUUCAA